UAAGAUCGAGUUUGAUCAAUUAAUUAGCUCAUCACAACCUUAUUACUUCUGUUAAUUUGUCAUCUAAUCGCAGCAGAUCGAUCUGGGUUAAGUUGUUAUUAGUGCAUGGAUUACAAUAAUCCGACGGUUUAAUUAGUGUAGCUAGCUAGUAGUUCAUGUGUUUGUAGUUGCAUGGAUCAUCGAGCUGUGCAGUGAACUGAAGUGCAUGCAUAUAUAGAUCACGUAGAGGAG
rnacentral:lncRNA from 1 species